rnacentral:rRNA from 1 species
CGUAGGUGGCGAGCGUUGUCCGGAAUUACUGGGUGUAAAGGGCGUGUAGGCGGGUUUGCAAGUCAGAUGUGAAAUUCCGGGGCUUAACUCCGGCGCUGCAUUUGAAACUGCAAGUCUUGAGUACUGGAGAGGGAAGCGGAAUUCCUAGUGUAGCGGUGAAAUGCGUAGAUAUUAGGAGGAACACCAGUGGCGAAGGCGGCUUUCUGGACAGUAACUGACGCUGAGGCGCGAAAGCGUGGGGAGCAAACAGGAUUAGAUACCCUGGUAGUCCACGCUGUAAACGAUGGAUACUAGGUGUAGGAGGUAUCGACCCCUUCUGUGCCGCAGUUAACACAAUAAGUAUCCCACCUGGGGAGUACGGCCGCAAGGUUG